rnacentral:rRNA from 1 species
UACGUAGGGUGCGAGCGUUGUCCGGAAUUACUGGGCGUAAAGAGCUCGUAGGUGGUUUGUCGCGUUGUUCGUGAAAACUCACAACUCAAUUGUGGGCGUGCGGGCGAUACGGGCAGACUGGAGUACUGCAGGGGAGACUGGAAUUCCUGGUGUAGCGGUGGAAUGCGCAGAUAUCAGGAGGAACACCGGUGGCGAAGGCGGGUCUCUGAGCAGUAACUGACGCUGAGGAGCGAAAGCGUGGGGAGCGAACAGG